rnacentral:rRNA from 1 species
AUUGAACGCUGGCGGCAGGCCUAACACAUGCAAGUCGAGCGGAUGAAGGGAGCUUGCUCCUGGAUUCAGCGGCGGACGGGUGAGUAAUGCAUAGGAAUCUGCCUGGUAGUGGGGGAUAACGUCCGGAAACGGGCGCUAAUACCGCAUACGUCCUGAGGGAGAAAGUGGGGGAUCUUCGGACCUCACGCUAUCAGAUGAGCCUAGGUCGGAUUAGCUAGUUGGUGGGGUAAAGGCCUACCAAGGCGACGAUCCGUAACUGGUCUGAGAGGAUGAGCAGUCAACCUGGACUGGGGACACGGUCCAGAUCCCAAGGGAGGCAGCAGUGGGGAAUAUUGGACAAUGGGCGAAAGCCUGAUCCAGCCAUGCCGCGUGUGUGAAGAAGGUCUUCGGAUUGUAAAGCACUUUUAGUUGGGAGGAAGGGCAGUAAGUUAAUACCUUGCUGUUUUGACGGUACCAACAGAAUAAGCACCGGCUAACUUCGUG